UACAGAGGCCUCAAGCGUUAGGCGGAAUCACUGGGCUUAAAGCGCGUGUAGGUGGACUUUUAAGUGCUUUGUGAAAUCCCACGGCUCAACCGUGGAACUGCUGGGCAUACUGGAAGUCUUGGGCUAUCUAGGGGCAACCGGAACAAGCGGUGGAGCGGUGAAAUGCGUAGAUAUCGCUUGGAACGCCAAAGGUGAAAACAGGUAGCUGGGGGUGUGCUGACACUGAGACACGAAAGCCAGGGGAGCAAACCGGGG
rnacentral:rRNA from 1 species